rnacentral:tRNA from 1 species
UACCUUUUGGUAUAAGGUGCACAAAAAGUUUUCAUAUUUUAUGAAACAGUUUAAUUCUGUUGAAUGUAA